CAGUCUUGCAAUUGGAUUGAGAACAAUGUACAACUCUUAUCGAUAAGCCAUUGGAGGGCAAGUCUGGUGCCAGCAGCCGCGGUAAUUCCAGCUCCAAUAGCGUAUAUUAACGUUGUUGCAGUUAAAAAGCUCGUAGUUGAAGUGUGGGUGAUCGCUGUUGUGAGACUUCGGUCUCUCGACAGUAAGUCACCCCCUUCCAGUAUCCAGUAGUGGGUAUUCAGUUACUUACUACUGUGUGUUGGUCCUUUACUGUGAGAAAAUUAGAGUGUUCAAAGCAGGCGUUUGCUUGAAUAGAUUAGCAUGGAAUAAUAAUUGAAGGCUUUCGUGUUCGAUUUGAUUGGUUUGUUCAUGGAAGCAAGGUUAAAAGGAACAGUUGGGGGUAUUCAUAUUCACUAGUUAGA
rnacentral:rRNA from 1 species